ACCUGAGUUUCCAGCGAAUUCCACUGAAGAGGCUGCAUGUCACAGUUACUCCUUAAUUUGCCUUUUGCCCUUUGUUGUUAGACACACUGCUGAACCAAGCUACUGCUGCAAUAUGGACAAAGUUUUCUUCAGCUGAUUCCUCCUGCUAAUGCCAUUUGUGUUUGGUGGGUUGGAGGGUGGGGCCUAUUGGAAUUCUCCUUUCUCUCCUUUCCCUCCUUUUCCACAGGUGACACCACACGUCUCUCCAAAACCUGCUAAUUCAAUGACUUGUCUUUCUUGUGCUUGGGCAAAACACUUCCACAAUAAAGUCAACUGUGAACACUGGAAUCAUAAACUGACAAUGCACACUAUAUUACCAAAAGUAUUCACUAACCCAUCCAAAUGAUUGGAAUCAAGUAUCUUAAUCACUUGUAUAAAAUAAAGCGCCUAUAGGCAUGCA